GGGUGUGUGUGUACUUGAGGCCCUUGAACCUGCAUUCCACCACUUUUGUUUCCAUGGUUCUGUAGUCAGUGGACGGUGUCCGCAGCGAUCUGCUUUCACCUGCGGGAUGUGCACGCCUGUGAUGGAUAGCCCAUGCAGAGAGGGCAUUAAAGUAGCUGCCAGAUCCUUUCUGGCUCAGCGAAACAUGGGGACCGGGCCAAUGAAGGAGCAUCAGAAUGUGAAACUGGAUUUAAUUGCGAUCGGAGAUGACCGGGGCAGAGCAGGACAUCGAGCAGCUACUCCACAGACCCACAAUCCAUUCAUCUCCCUAAGAGCGUUUAACAGGUUUGGAUUUACAACGUCCCCGGCACAUUUGUCUCGGUGACAGCGAUAUAUUUUAAAGAUCAACAUUACUAGAUUUAUGUUAAGUAAAGAGGAAUUUCUAUUAGCUUAAGACUUUGCUCCCGUAAACGUACAAAAAGGAACUUUUAAAAGAGCAAUGUGGAGAUUUUAGUGGCAUCUGGUGGCCAGGUUGAGAAUUGCAACCAGUGAACUACGUCGUGAAUUCCAUGCAAGGGGUGUAGCUAGAAGUAGCUCAUUCUAAGAUCCUCCUAAAUACUACACACUGGACCUUUAAGGGUACCACCGCAGCGACAGAAAAGUAGUACCUGAUGAUGAAACACUGUGGGCGUCUCUCCUGAAGCAUCAUGUGAUAAGCACGUUCAGUUGAGGAGAAGAUAUGAGGCGG